UGACCUCGAAUCAGGUAGGAAUACCCGCUGAACUUAAGCAUAUCAAUAAGCGGAGGAAAAGAAACCAACAGGGAUUGCCCCAGUAACGGCGAGUGAAGCGGCAACAGCUCAAAUUUGAAAUCUGGCCCCCCGGGGCCCGAGUUGUAAUUUGCAGAGGAUGCUUUUGGCGAGGCGCCUUCCGAGUUCCCUGGAACGGGACGCCAUAGAGGGUGAGAGCCCCGUCUGGUUGGACGCCGAGCCUCUGUAAAGCUCCUUCGACGAGUCGAGUAGUUUGGGAAUGCUGCUCUAAAUGGGAGGUAUAUGUCUUCUAAAGCUAAAUACCGGCCAGAGACCGAUAGCGCACAAGUAGAGUGAUCGAAAGAUGAAAAGCACUUUGAAAAGAGGGUUAAAUAGUACGUGAAAUUGUUGAAAGGGAAGCGCUUGUGACCAGACUUGGGCCCGGCGGAUCACCCAGCGUUCUCGCUGGUGCACUCCGGCGCGGCCCAGGCCAGCAUCAGCUCGUCCCGGGGGACAAAGGCGGCGGGAAUGUGGCUCCUCCGGGAGUGUUAUAGCCCACCGCGCAAUGCCCUGGGGCGGGCUGAGGACCGCGCAUCUGCAUGGAUGCUGGCGUAAUGGUCAUCAGCGACCCGUCUUGAAACACGGACCAA
rnacentral:rRNA from 1 species